UACGGAGGGUGCGAACGUUAAUCGGAAUCACUGGGCGUAAAGCGCGCGUAGGCGGUCUGUUAAGUGGGAUGUGAAAUCCCCGGGCUUAACCUGGGAAUUGCAUUUCAAACUGGCCGACUAGAGUACGGUAGAGGGAGGUAGAAUUUCCUGUGUAGCGGUGAAAUGCGUAGAUAUAGGAAGGAAUACCAGUGGCGAAAGCGGCGCGCUGGACCCCUUCUGACGCUGAGGCGCGAAAGCCAGGGGAGCAAACGGG
rnacentral:rRNA from 1 species